rnacentral:misc_RNA from 1 species
AAGUCGUAACAAGGUCUCCGUAGGUGAACCUGCGGAGGGAUCAUUACAGAGUUCUCGCCCUCACGGGUAGACCUCCCACCCACUGUGAUUGUUACCGUCGUUGCUUUGGCGGGCCGCUGGGCUCCUGCCCGGCCACCGGCCCCGGCUGGUGCGCGCCCGCCAGAGGCUUCACAAACUCUAGAUGUCAACGUCGUCUGAGUACUAUAUAAUAGUUAAAACUUUCAACAACGGAUCUCUUGGUUCUG